UUGAAUUAUUGUAAUUCUUACUCUGACGUUAUGGUUCUAAUGACUUGAGUUAUGUGGUCCUCUGGCGGGCGCUCUCCAGGCGAUUUGGGACCCGGCGGCCGCGCUUGCGCGCGUCCGGCCCGCCAAAGCAACGUUUGUCAAAUAACAACAAAAGGGUGGGAUGUCGGGCCCCCGAGGGGACCCAAACACGUUAAUGAUCCUUCCGCAGGUUCACCUACGGAAA
rnacentral:misc_RNA from 1 species